rnacentral:rRNA from 1 species
UACGAAGGGGGCUAGCGUUGUUCGGAAUUACUGGGCGUAAAGCGCGCGCAGGCGGUCUUCCAAGUCAGUGGUGAAAGCCCGGAGCUCAACUCCGGAACUGCCAUUGAAACUGUUGGACUUGAGUACGAGAGAGGUGAGUGGAAUUCCCAGUGUAGAGGUGAAAUUCGUAGAUAUUGGGAAGAACACCGGUGGCGAAGGCGGCUCACUGGCUCGUAACUACGCUCAGGCGCGACAGCGUGGGG